CCUACGGGGGGCAGCAGUGGGGAAUAUUGGACAAUGGGCGAAAGCCUGAUCCAGUCAUGCCGCGUGUGUGAAGAAGGCCUUCGGGUUGUAAAGCACUUUCAGUGGGGAAGAAAGCCUUGGGGCUAAUACCCUCGAGGAAGGACAUCACCCACAGAAGAAGCACCGGCUAACUCCGUGCCAGCAGCCGCGGUAAUACGGAGGGUGCGAGCGUUAAUCGGAAUUACUGGGCGUAAAGCGCGCGUAGGCGGUCUGAUAAGCCGGUUGUGAAAGCCCCGGGCUCAACCUGGGAACGGCAUCCGGAACUGUCAGGCUAGAGUGCAGGAGAGGAAGGUAGAAUUCCCGGUGUAGCGGUGAAAUGCGUAGAGAUCGGGAGGAAUACCAGUGGCGAAGGCGGCCUUCUGGACUGACACUGACGCUGAGGUGCGAAAGCGUGGGUAGCAAACAGGAUUAGAUACCCGUGUAGUC
rnacentral:rRNA from 1 species